rnacentral:rRNA from 1 species
AGCGAACGUUAGCGGCGGGCCUAACACAUGCAAGUCGAACGCGAAAGGUCUUCGGACUGAGUAGAGUGGCGCACGGGUGAGUAUCACGUAGGUAAUCUACCCUUUGGCGGGGGAUAACGUUCCGAAAGGAGCGCUAAUACCGCAUAAGACCACGGAGUCUCCGGACGCUGUGGGAAAAGGUGGCCUCUUCUUGAAAGCUACCACCGAAGGAUGAGCCUGCGUCCCAUCAGCUAGUUGGUAAGGUAAUGGCUUACCAAGGCGAAGACGGGUAGCUGGUUUGAGAGAAUGAUCAGCCACACUGGCACUGGAACACGGGCCAGACUCCUACGGGAGGCAGCAGUGAGGAAUAUUGGGCAAUGGGCGAAAGCCUGACCCAGCCACGCCGCGUGAGUGAUGAAGGCCCUCGGGUCGUAAAGCUCUGUGGAGAGGGACGAAAACCCUGGUUUCAAAUAGGCUCCAGGCUUGACGGUACCUCUUUAGCAAGCACCGGCUAACUCUGUGCCAGCA